rnacentral:rRNA from 1 species
UAGGGAAUCUUCGGCAAUGGACGAAAGUCUGACCGAGCAACGCCGCGUGAGUGAAGAAGGUUUUCGGAUCGUAAAACUCUGUUGUUAGAGAAGAACAAGGACGUUAGUAACUGAACGUCCCCUGACGGUAUCUAACCAGAAAGCCACGGCUAACUACGUGCCAGCAGCCGCGGUAAUACGUAGGUGGCAAGCGUUGUCCGGAUUUAUUGGGCGUAAAGCGAGCGCAGGCGGUUUCUUAAGUCUGAUGUGAAAGCCCCCGGCUCAACCGGGGAGAGUCAUUGGAAACUGGGAGACUUGAGUGCAGAAGAGGAGAGUGGAAUUCCAUGUGUAGCGGUGAAAUGCGUAGAUAUAUGGAGGAACACCAGUGGCGAAGGCGGCUCUCUGGACAAAGACUGACGCUCAGGUGCGAAAGCGUGGGGAGCAAACAGG